rnacentral:rRNA from 1 species
UACGUAGGGGGCAAGCGUUGUCCGGAUUUAUUGGGCGUAAAGAGCGUGUAGGCGGCCAUACAGGUCCGUUGUGAAAACUGGAGGCUUAACCUCGAGACGUCGGCGGAAACCCUCUGGCUAGAGUCCGGAAGAGGAGAGUGGAAUUCCUGGUGUAGCGGUGAAAUGCGCAGAUAUCAGGAAGAACACCCGUGGCGAAGGCGGCUCUCUGGGACGGUACUGACGCUGAGACGCGAAAGCGUGGGGAGCAAACAGG